ensembl:lncRNA
AUGCAGCUUAAAUUACAUUUUCUUCGCCCUCAUUUCAUAUUCAACAACACGUCAUGGAGGCCGCAGUCCUGUCAGGAGUGUACCUGCUAUGGUGAUGUGGCCAUCUGUGGGCCCACCCACUGUCCCAACCCCCACUGUGACCUGCAGAGGGGCGAGCAUUUGAGGAUCCCUGCCAACAAGUGCUGUCCAGAGUGCGCCUCCUCAUCCCAGGGCUCCUGCCAGUAUGAAGGAGUCAUCUAUGGACAUGACAGUCAGUGGAGUCCCUCGCCUUGUUCAGUGUGUACUUGCUCCGGAGGGAGCGUAUCCUGCACCACUCACCCCUGCCCGCAUCUCACCUGUCCCGGGGAUCAAAGCCUGUUCACCCCAGCCGGGGAGUGUUGCCCCAAGUGUGGCAGCAAUGGAGAGUCUUGCUCUUGGCAGGGGAUCGUUUACAGGGAUGGAGAGGAGUGGAAGCCCAGCCUCUGUUCCAGAUGUGUCUGCAGCAAUGGAGAGGUCCAGUGUUCAGUAGCAGAGUGUCAGCAAGUGGCCUGCAAACCGCACGAGAACUUGGUGAUCCAGCCAGGAGAGUGCUGUCCCCAGUGUGUGUCCAACCCUUGUCUGUCAGCUGGAAAACAGUACCAGCACGGUGAGCAGUGGCAGAAGAACACCUGCACCACGUGCGUGUGUGACCGGGGUCAAUCUAAAUGCCACACUAAAACCUGCCCACCCAUAACCUGCGACAAGGGUCAGACCAAAGUGAAGCGUGCCGGGCAGUGCUGUGAUGAAUGCGCUGCUGCUAAGGGAAGCUGCCAGUACCAGGGCGCAGUGCGUUACCAUGGAGACAUGUGGAACAGCACUGGCUGCGAGUUCUGUACCUGCAGCCGGGGUCAGGUCCUCUGUCAGAGGGCCGAGUGUGGACGUGUCGAAUGCCCGCAGGGAUCUGAGCUCGUUAACCUGCCAGGGAAAUGCUGCCCUGAGUGUUCCUCUGCGAAACCUUCCUGUGUGCACAAGGGAAAAUCCUACAAGGUACUUCUAUCACAAAACCUUGCUCGAUGGAGUGAUGGCAGUUGUCGUGAGUGUGAAUGCCACGAUGCCCAGGUGACUUGUUAUCUGAGAUCCUGCCGUACCUGCCCUCUGGGCACCCUGGCUGUCAUUCAGGACGGCCAAUGUUGCCCCGAGUGUCACCAAGCCCAGUGCCACACAGACUGCCUGUCGUGCUCGGGAACGCCUGAUCACUGUGACAGCUGCAGGGAGCCACAGGCCUUACUUCAUCUUGGCCGCUGCCUGUCUGUCUGUCCAGUGGGCUUCUACGCUGAAGGACGAGUAUGUGCAGCCUGCCAAUCAUCCUGUGCCACCUGUUCCAGCAGGUGGGAUUGUCAGUCCUGCGGCUCCAGGCUGCCCCUGCUGAACCCCGAUAGGAGUCAGUGCCUGGCUUCCUGUCCACCUGGUUCCUAUCAGCACGACCCAACACACUGUCGCUACUGUCACGAGUCGUGCUCGGAGUGCCGUGGGCCGAGUCAGCAGGAGUGCGUGUCGUGCUCAGACCCAGCCGCCUUGCUGAAAGACGGGGCGUGCGUCCUUGACUGUGGCACAGGUUUCUACAGUCAAGAAGGCGUCUGCCACGCCUGCCACAGCUCCUGCGCCUCCUGCUGGGGUCCCUCGGUAUCCCAGUGCACCUUGUGUCCAGGUGCACUCCUUCUCCACCAGGGACAGUGUGUGGAGGCCUGUGGGGAGGGACUGUAUGCUCAGGACUACACCUGCCACAGUGAGAGUCUAAAUACAUUAAUAAAGUGUCCUGUUAAUACAACUUCUCUUCCUUGUUCCCAGAACUGUCAUCCCUCCUGCCGUUCUUGUGUGGGACCCCUGGCCUCAGACUGCCUCCGCUGCCUCAAACCGGAGGAAGCUCUUCUUCCGCAAUCGAGUCACCUUCAGCACAGCGUCUGCACAGCUGGGUGUCCCACGCGCAGCUUCCUGGAUGACAUGCAGACAUGCAGAGAGUGUCAUCCCUCCUGUUGGCAGUGUGCUGGGCCAUCUGCAGACAACUGUACGUCCUGUCCCUCCCCGUCCAGCCUGUACGAGGGCCGCUGUGUCCCCACAUGCCCACAAGGCUUCUUUAUUCAGGACAACCAAUGCCAAGCGUGCCAUCCCUCCUGCCAGACCUGCUCCGGUCCCUCCCAGAGUGGCCACUGCAGGGCAAACUGCCAAGAGGGGCAUUUCCUUAAUGCUAUCUCUGGAGAGUGCCUCAAGUGCAGCUCGGACUGCCAGCGCUGCACAGCAGACCUCCAGACGGGCGUCGGCAGCAUUUGUCUGUGGUGCAAAGCGCCAAGAAUGUGGCUGCUGGGCGAUCACUGUGUCUCUCACUGUCCUCUGGGUCAUUAUGGCUGGCAUGGAGCCUGCAUCAGAUGCCAUCCAUCAUGCGAGGCCUGCAGUGGGGCUGGGCUGCUCUCUUGUACUUCCUGCCCUGCCAACAGCGUUCUCUUGCCAUCUGGACUUUGUGCCCCCAAAUGUCCCCUUGGAUACUAUAACAAUGGCCAAAGGAUCUGCCAGGUAUGUGACAGCCAGUGCCUGACGUGCGAUAUGCCCGGGGUUUGUACGUCCUGCCGUGACCCGGCCAAGGUGCUGCUGUUCGGAGAAUGCCAGUACGACAGCUGCGCCCAUCAGUACUACCUCAACACCACGACCCGCACCUGCAGAGAGUGUGACUGGAGCUGCAACGCCUGUAAAGGCCCCCUGAGGACUGACUGCCUGCAGUGCAUGGAGGGCUACGUGUUGCAGGGGGGAGUGUGCACGCAGGGGUGCUCCUUUGGCUCCUAUCGAGACGGAGACAGAUGCCUUGGCUGUGAUGAUCACUGCUUGGACUGUCAAGGUCCUGGACAGUGCCAGGAAUGCCAGCCUCCCUACGCCACGCUGCACGGCCAGUGUGUGCUCGAAUGUGGCAGAAACUACUUCCUGGAUGCAUCUUCCAAAGCUUGCACAUCUUGCUCGUCCGACUGCGUGCUCUGUGACGGGAUCGGACUCUGCAGAGCUUGUCGUAAUCAGACCUACCUCAUGGAAGGAUACUGCACUCCCGACUGUGGACAUGGAUAUUACGCAGACCAGAAGACCAGGACCUGUCACAUGAACGCCCACUCGCCUGCCCUCCAUGUCAACGGGUCCCUGCUGGUUCCCUUUGAUGGUUUUGCCCCGCUGCUCCCCACCCUGCUGCAGGUGAAAGACCCAGACAGUCCGUCUGAGCAGCUGAUCUUUCAGCUUGUUCAGAAGCCGAGUAACGGACGGCUGGUCCUGUUCAGAGGGGAGGAAGGUGAAGAGACGGGAGGCCGAGAAAUAAAGAAGGACGACACGUUCACGUGGGCAGAGCUGAGACACGGACAGGUCCGAUUCCGAUACCAGAAAGACAAAGACAGCGGUGAGUUCACCUUGCGUGUUGCUGAUCCCCAGCUGUUUUCCCAACCGAAAACAAUUCAAGUCCGAGCCGUGUCCAUGCAGGUAACCCCGAGAGUCGUGACCCUCUCCCCUCUUACCGUGGAGGGCCGUGGCAGCCUGGCAACCAUCACCAAGUCAGUCCUGCAGGUCGACGACCCUGACAACGCAGCCGAUGUCCUGGUCAUGGUACUUGAGCUGCCCCGCCAUGGCCGGCUGACCCGUCUCCACAGCGACCGCGCUCUCAGCCGAUUCAAGCUGGAGGAGCUGUCACGGGAACAGAUUCAAUACAUCCACGACGGUUCGGAGGGGGCAGAGGACGGGGCGGUGCUGCAGAUCAACGACGGCCACAGCUACAAGAAUAUUCUGCUCCGAGUCCAAAUACACCACAAGGUAGGAUGGAGAGAGGGGAAGGAGAAGGAUUUAUUGACCUGGGUGAAAGAGGGAGGCAUGGUGCGACUGGAUAAAAAGUACCUGCAGACAGAUUUCAAAGGAGUCAGCACUGAUAACAUUGUCUACAGCAUCCUCCCCUCAGAGGGGCAACCCAAAUAUGGUGAGGUGUUGCUGGUGUCCAUGCCGGCUGAUGGCCCCUCAGAGGGUUGGCUUCCCUCGCUAACAGACGACCGCAGCUUUACAGCAACGACUUCCUUCACGCAGCAAGACGUGAAUGACGGUGCAGUCUGGUACCGCCACUUUGGCACCGGCAGCAGCGGUGACUCCUUCCUGUUCCAGGUUUCCACAGAGGCAGAACCAGUCGUUCAGAGCGAUGCUCAGACCUUCACCAUAGGAGUCAUGCCUCAGAUCCCAGGAUUCCCACAGCUGGCCCCCGACUGCGACCUACAGAUCACGGCUCUGGAGGAUCAGGUGACAGAGAUAACGCCUUCAGCGCUGUCCUUCGUCGACUCUGAGACUCCCAGCGAGAAGCUCAUCUACAGUAUCACCAAACCACUACCAUCGGGACAAGGGACCAUCGAGCACCGUGACAGGCCGCACACACACGUGCAACAUUUCACUCAGGCUGAUGUGAAUAACGGCAAGAUCAUCUACAGACCGCCGCAGGCUCCGUCACACCUCCAGGAGCUCUACCAGUACUCCUUCACUGGCCUGCCGGAGUCGCUGAGCGUUUAUUUCACAGUGUCAGAUGGCGAGCACACCACGCCUGAGCUGGACUUUGCUGUCCUGCUGCUGACAAACCACCAGCAGCCGCCGGUGUUUCAGGUUCUGGACCCGCUGCUGGAGGUCAGCCUCGGAGGACAAGCUGCCAUCGGCGGUCAGCAGCUGGCUGUGAGCGACGUUGACACGGCUCCAGAUGACCUGGAGUUCGAGGUGGUAGAAGCUCCCGUCCAUGGAGAGCUGAUAAAGACUGACGGCAACACAAAAAUUCGCAUGACUAAUGGUGACACCUUCACUUUCAGCGACGUCACCCGCAAUGUCCUGCUCUACCGUCACUCCGGGCUCUCCACCCAAGAUGAUGCCAUCACCUUCUCAGUUAGCGACGGUAUCUCCAUGGCUGCCACGGUAGUGCAGGUGGUGGUUUUGGGCGCUGGAGGCAGCGGGCCACAGCAGGACCCCAUCGCCACUCUCUCGCUGGAAGUGGGCGAGAAAAGCAGCACUGUCAUCAGACGCUCACACCUGGCUUACACGGAUGACACAUCCCCAGAUGACCAGAUUCGAGUCCAGCUGGUGUCUGUGCCAAUGUACGGCAUCCUGACCAGGAGCCAGUCCCAGCAGGAGCACCAGGAGCUGAGGGAGUACUCCUCCUUCACAAUGGAGGACAUCAACAAGCACAGGAUCAGGUACAUCACUUCGAUAGAGACGGGAAGUCAGCCAGUGACUGAUAUCUUCCACUUUGUUGUUUACGAUGGAGACAACAAUCGCCUUGACAACCAGAUAUGCACCAUCACCAUCACCUCCACACCAAGACAGCCGCCGGUGGUCACUGUCCGAGGCAGCAUCAAGGUCGAGGAAGGUGGUCGUGUGCAGCUGUCUACCAAUGACAUCACAGUGUCAGAUGUGGACACGCCCCCGAAGGAGCUGCUGAUUUGGCUCAUCAGCCCUCCUAAAUAUGGUUUUAUUGAGAACACCAGGAGAGGCAGCUCCAUUGGCGGCUCACAUGUCGUCACCCCUGAUGUGCCGUUCUCUGUGGAGGACCUUACAUCCGGCCAUAUCUCUUACGUCCAGGAGAGCCAGCUUAAACCUCAAACCAAGCAGGACAUCUUCAGCGUCUACAUCAGUGACGGGCUCAGCCAGACGGAAGCUUUCAGUGUGGAAAUUGACAUCCAGCAGAGUAAAGAGGACAAAGAGCCGGUGGUGUCCGUCAGCAGCAUCCAUAUAGAGGAAAACUCUGGAGUUGUCAUCACCAACUCGUCCCUCAGCGUCCACGAUCAGGACACACCAGAGAACGAGAUCCUCUUCACUAUUAUCAGAAUUCCCAGCUAUGGCAAGCUCCGCAGGCGGCAGUUCUACUCCCAGCCACUGGAGAACGGUCGCGUCCUAACGCAGGGCUCCACCUUCACCUAUCAGGAUGUGGUGGAUCAGCUGCUGGUUUACACGCCUGAAACUGUCAGCGGGGGAGCAGACGAGAUGGCCUUCACCCUCACCGAUGGCAUUCACACCCACACGGGCCGCCUGGAGUUCACGAUGGACGUCACGAGGAGCGAGGGACCUCGAAUGACCGUCAACAGAGGACUGCAGCUUCCAGCAGGGUCAUCAUCUAAGAUCACAGAGCAGAAUCUGAAAGGUACUGACAUCGACUCAGACCACCUGAAGCUCCGGUACAUCUUGACCAAAGACCCCCCGGUCGGCAAGCUGCAGCUCAACAGGAGCAGCCGAGUGGAGCGAGUUUCUGUGAAAGGUCCCGUUCAGAGCUUCACUCAGGAGGACGUCAACAAAGGCUUGCUGCACUACAGCCACGAGAAGGGGGAGAAAGGAGGCAGCCUGUCGUUCAAGUUCAACCUGGUCGAUCCGGAGGGCAACAAACUGAUCGACCAGUCCUUCUUCAUCAGUGUGCUUGAGGACCAUCUCCCUCCAUCUGUAGUGGUAAACAAAGGCCUGGUGCUUGAUGAAAACUCAGUGAAGAAGCUGACCACGCUGCAGCUGUCAGCCAGCGACCAGGACAGCGAGCCGGGCGAGCUCAUCUACCGUGUCACCAAACAGACGAGCCUGGGGCACCUCGAGCAUGCUGCCAGUCCAGGCACCAGGAUCAGCACCUUCACGCAGGCUGACCUGGCAUCACGCAGCAUCCAGUACGUCCACACCAGUGAAGAAGAGAAACAUGCUGACCAGUUCUCCUUCACCGUGUCCGACGGGACAAAUGAGGUUGCCCAGACUUUCUACAUCACCAUCAAGCCUGUGGACGACUCCCUGCCUCUUCUUCAGGUCCCUGGCAUGAGGGUGCAGGAGGGUGUGAGAAAGACCAUCACUGAGUUUGAGCUGAAAGCCACCGAUGCGGACACAGAGGCGGAGUCUAUCGUCUUCAGCGUCGUCCAGGCUCCUCGACACGGCACCAUCGAGCGCACCAUCAACGGCCAACACUACCGACAGACCAGCAGCUUCACCAUGGACGACAUCUACCAGAACCGCAUCAGCUACAACCACGACGGCUCCAACUCGCUCAAAGACCGCUUCACCUUUACCGUGACCGACAGCACCAACUUGCUCUUCAUGGUGGAGGAUGACGGCAAAGAGAUAGUGACAGCCGCUCCCCAGAAGUUCAAGAUAGAUAUCCUGCCAGUUGAUGAUGGAACGCCGUUAAUUUUCACCAACCUGGGACUGCAGUGGCUGGAGUACAUGGAUAACAAGGCCACCAAUCUGAUCACCAAGAAGGAGCUGCUGACCAUGGACCCAGACACAGAUGAUGGACAGCUGGUUUAUGAAAUCACCACAGAGCCAAAGCACGGCUUCCUGGAGAGCAAGCUGAAACCUGGGAACCCCAUUACCGCAUUCACACAAGCCGAUAUCAAUCUGGGUCUGAUCCGGUACGUGCUUCAUCAGGAGAACGUCCAGGAAACCAUGGACAACUUCAAGUUCCUGGUCAAAGACAGCAAGCCAAAUGUGGUCAGUGACAAUGUCUUCCACAUCCAGUGGUCCCUCAUCAGCUUUGAGCACAAAAGCUACAAUGUGAGUGAGAAGGCCGGCACAGUGGCGGUGACCGUGAAGCGAACCGGUAAUCUCAACCAGUACGCCAUCGUGCUCUGCCGCACUGAACAGGGCAGCGCCACCUCCACGAGCAGCGUCGGAUCCCGACCCGGACAGCAGGACUAUGUGGAAUACGCUGGGCAGGUGCAGUUUGAUGAGCGUGAGGACACAAAGGUGUGCACUAUAGUCAUUAACGACGACAAGGUGUUUGAGGGGAUCGAGAGCUUCCAUGUGGAGCUCAGCAUGCCCGUGUAUGCGCUGCUGGGUGGAAACACGCGCGCUGUCGUCAACAUCAACGACACAGAAGACGAACCCACUUUGCAGUUUGACAAGAAGAUUUACCACGUCAAUGAAAGCUCAGGCUUAAUCCAGGCUCCCAUUGAAAGGAAAGGUGAUACCUCCAGCACAGUCUCUGCUCUCUGCUACACCGUAGCCAAGUUAGCGCAGGGCAGCAGCCUCCACGCUCUGGAGUCCGGCUCUGACUACAAGAGCCGCGGCAUGACCACCGACAACCGAGUGAUCUUCGGUCCUGGAGUCAGCAUGUCCACCUGUGAUGUUAAGCUCAUCGAUGACAGCGAGUACGAACUGUCCGAGGAGUUCGAGCUGGUGCUCUCAGACGCCUCCGAUAAUGCACGCAUGGGCGACGUGUCGGUGGCCAAGGUCAUUAUCGACGGACCCAACGAUGCAUCGACUGUUUCUCUUGGAAACGCCACGUUUACCUUCAGUGAAGAUGCUGGCACAAUUGAAAUACCAGUGCUGCGUCAUGGCAGCGACCUGUCCUCGCUGACCUCUGUGUGGUGCGCAACCCGACCUUCAGACCCUCCGUCAGCCAGCCCCGGGGUCGACUACAUUCCCAGCUCCAAGAAAGUGGAAUUCAAACCUGGAAAAACUGACGAGACAUGCAGUUUAACCAUCAUGGAUGACAUCCAGAACCCGUCCAUCGAGGGGUCUGAGUCCUUCGUGGUGUUCCUCAGUUCUCCUCAGGGUGCUGUCCUUCAAGAGCCCUACGAAGCCAACGUCAUCAUCACGGACACGUUUCAGGACAUUCCUAACAUGCAGUUUGAGAAGAGCUCCUACACCGUGAAGGAGAAAGAUAACCUUCUCCACAUCCCCAUCAUCCGGACCGGCGACCUCUCCUUCAAGUCAUCUGUGCGCUGUUUCACCCGGACCAUGUCCGCCAUGGUGAUGGACGACUUUGAGGAGAGAAGGAAUGCAGAUGAGUCGCGCAUCACUUUCCUCAAAGGAGAGAAGGUGAAGAACUGCACAGUUCACAUCACUGACGACUCAGUGUUCGAGCCUGAGGAGGAGUUUCAGGUGCAUCUCGGUACACCGCUCAGUGACCACUGGAGCGGCGCCAUGGUGGGAGCUAACGAUAUUGUCACUGUAACCAUCACCAACGAUGAAGAUGCUCCCACCAUUGAGUUCGAGCAGGCGUCCUAUCAGGUGAGAGAGCCUCCCGGUCCAGAUGGCAUCGAAGUGCUCAACAUCAAAGUGAUCCGCAGAGGAGAUCUGGACCGAACGUCCAAGAUCCGUUGCAGCACCCGGGAUGGAUCGGCCCAAUCUGGAGUCGACUACAAUCCCAAGAGUCGAGUGCUUAAGUUCACCCCGGGCAUGGACCACAUCCUCUUUAAAGUGGAGAUUUUGUCCAAUGAGGACAGAGAGUGGCACGAGUCCUUCUCAUUGGUCCUUGGGCCUGAUGACCCGGUGGAGGCAGUGCUUGGGGAGAUCACAAUGGCCACAGUGACCAUUCUGGAUCAGGAGGCGGCAGGAAGUCUCAUCCUACCUGCCCCACCUAUUGUGGUCUCUCUCGCUGACUACGAUCAUGUCCAGGAGGUGAUCAAAGAGGGCAGCAAGAAGACUCCCUCUCCAGGUUACCCUCUGGUGUGUGUCACCCCCUGUGACCCUCACUACCCCAAGUACUCUGUGAUGAAGGAGCGCUGUGAGGAGGCGGGAAUCAACCAGACCCAAGUUCACUUCUCGUGGGAAGUGGCGGCUCCCACUGACACCAGUGGCGCCCGAUCCCCCUUUGAGACGGUCACCGAUACAACCCCAUAUACUAGCGUCAACCAUAUGGUUCUGGACAGCAUUUAUUUCAGCCGACGCUUCCACGUUCGCUGCGUGGCUCAGGCCAGAGACAAAGCUGGACACCUGGGAACACCGCUGAGGAGCAACAUCGCCACCAUCGGCACAGAGGGCUCCAUCUGCCACACACCUGUCACCACGGGAACCGCCAGAGGCUUCCAGGCUCAGUCCUUCAUCGCCACACUCAAAUACUUAGACGUCAAGCACAAAGAGCACCCCAACCGGAUCCACAUCUCAGUCCAGAUCCCCCAUCAGGAUGGAAUGCUCCCCCUGGUUUCCACCAUGCCGCUGCACAACCUUCACUUCCUGCUGUCAGAGUCGAUCUACAGGCAGCAGCACGUCUGCUCCAAUCUGGUCACCCUCAAAGACCUUCAGGGGAUCGCCGAGUCAGGCUUCCUCGAUGAUGUAUCGUAUGACAGCAUCUCUCUGGGGCCAGGCUACGACCGCCCCUACCAGUUCAACCCCAACGUCCGCGAGGGCAAGAGCCUCCAGCUCUAUAAGCACCUCAACCUCAAGAGCUGCAUCUGGACCUUCGACGCCUACUACGACAUGACAGAACUCAUCGACGUGUGCGGGGGCUCAGUCACCGCGGAUUUCCAGGUUCGGGACUCUGCUCAGUCCUUCCUGACGGUGCAGGUUCCUCUCUAUGUCUCCUACAUCUACGUCACAGCACCGAGAGGCUGGGCCUCUCUGGAGCACCACACUGAGAUGGAGUUCUCUUUCUUCUAUGACACCGUGCUCUGGAGGACAGGUAUCCAGACUGACAGCGUCCUCUCAGCCAGACUGCAGAUCAUCAGGAUCUAUAUCAGGGAAGACGGUCGGCUGGUAAUUGAGUUUAAAACGCACGCCAAAUUCAGAGGUCAGUUUGUGCUUGAGCACCACACCCUGCCGGGCCACAAGUCCCGCCUCAUGGCCCCCGACCACCUCGGAGGCAUCGAGUUUGACAUCCAGCUGCUGUGGAGCGCUCAAACCUUUGACUCACCGUACCAGCUGUGGAGGGCUACCAGCUCCUACAGCAGGAAGGACUAUUCUGGAGAGUACACCGUCUUCUUGGUCCCCUGCACUGUUCAGCCAACUCAGCCGUGGAUUGAUCCCGGUGACAAACAGCUGUCCUGCACAGCUCACGCUCCAGAGAAGUUUCUGGUGCCGAUUGCCUUCCAACAAACCAACAGGCCUGUUCCUGUGGUUUACUCGCUCAACACGGAGUUCCAGCUGUGCAACAAUGAGAAGGUGUUCAUGAUGGACCCGGCUACUGCUGAUGUGUCCAUGGCUGAGAUGGAUUACAAGGGAGCGUUCUCCAUGGGUCAGACUCUGUACGGCAGGGUUUUGUGGAACCCUGAGCAGAACCUGAACGCAGCCUACAAACUGCAGCUGGAGAAGGUUUACCUGUGCACUGGCAGGGACGGAUACGUUCCCUUCUUCGACCCCACGGGGACUCUGUACAACGAGGGGCCGCAGUACGGCUGCAUUCAACCCAACAAACACCUCAAACAUCGCUUCCUGCUGCUGGAUCGUAAACAGCCCGAUGUCUGUGACAAAUUUUUCCACGACGUUCCUUUCGAGGCUCACUUUGCCUCAGACAUCCCGGAGCUGCAGUCCAUGACGGCCAUGCCAGGUGUUGACGGCUUCACGAUGAAGGUUGAUGCGCUCUACAAGGUGGAGGCGGGGCACCAGUGGUACCUGCAGGUAAUUUAUGUGAUUGGCCCCGAGUCGCGGUCCAACCCCAGGAUUCAGCGCUCUGUGACCUAUCAGCUCAGCCGUUCUAAACGCGACCUGGUGGAUCGCAGCGGCCGGCUGACGCUUGACGAGUCGCUCAUCUACGACAACGAGGGAGAUCAAAUAAAGAACGGCGUGGCCGCCAUCACCCUGCUGGUCCUGGUCCUGCUGGCCUCUUGCUUCCUGUUCCGCCGCUGCCGACGGUUGGCCAAGAAGAAGAGCAAGAAGAAGGAACCAAAAAUCUAUGAGGAGUAUCCGCUCAACACCAAAGUGGAGGUGUGCAUGGACAAGUGUGUGGAGAAGAACUUCGGCACCAAGCACUGCACGGUGAGAAACAUCAACGUCCUGAACCGCAACCAGGAGGCCAACAGCAAGGCCAAGGUCAAACAGGUCAACCUGGAGGUCAAACUCCACAACAACCUCAACGACGGCACUGAGGUCUGA